UGCUUUUGAUUAUACUUAGUGGCGGACGGGUGAGUAACGCGUGGGCAAUCUGCCCGUAAGAGGGGGAUAACACCGAGAAAUUGGUGCUAAUACCGCAUAACAUCACGGUGCUGCAUAGUAAAGUGAUCAAAGGAGAAAUCCACUUACGGAUGAGCCCGCGUCUGAUUAGCUAGUUGGUAGGGUAACGGCCUACCAAGGCGACGAUCAGUAGCCGGCCUGAGAGGGUGAACGGCCACACUGGAACUGAGACACGGUCCAGACUCCUACGGGAGGCAGCAGUGGGGAAUCUUCCGCAAUGGGCGAAAGCCUGACGGAGCAACGCCGCGUGAGUGAAGAAGGCCUUCGGGUUGUAAAACUCUGUCUUCAGGGAAGAAAAAAAUGACGGUACCUGAGGAGGAAGCCACGGCUAACUACGUGCCAGCAGCCGCGGUAAUACGUAGGUGGCAAGCGUUGUCCGGAAUUACUGGGCGUAAAGAGCGCGUAGGCGGGAAUUUAAGUCAGGAGUGAAAACUGCCGGCUCAACUGGCAGCCUGCUCUUGAAACUGGAUUUCUUGAGGGUAUGAGAGGAAAGCGGAAUUCCUAGUGUAGCGGUGAAAUGCGUAGAUAUUAGGAGGAACACCAGUGGCGAAGGCGGCUUUCUGGCAUACAACUGACGCUGAGGCGCGAAAGCGUGGGGAGCAAACGGGAUUAGAUACCCCGGUAGUCCACGCCGUAAACGAUGGGUACUAGGUGUAGGAGGUAUCGACCCCUUCUGUGCCGUAGUUAACACAAUAAGUACCCCGCCUGGGGAGUACGGCCGCAAGGUUGAAACUCAAAGGAAUUGACGGGGGCCCGCACAAGCGGUGGAGUAUGUGGUUUAAUUCGACGCAACGCGAAGAACCUUACCAGGGCUUGACAUCC
rnacentral:rRNA from 1 species